CCACAUUGAAGCCGGGGCACCCAAACGGACAUCAUCAAUGGUUGGGAUCGGGACAAGGUCAAAAAUUUCUGUUCGUUUCAAUACGUUCUGAAUUGCUGUAUGAUGAAAAAGAAACACAGCACAAGGAGAGACAACACUUGUCAAUUUCAUUUCCAACUGAAAAUGGCUUUGUCCGUGAUUUCUGGAGAGGAACUAGAGGGUGUUUGUAGCAGGAUGAUGACCUGUGGCAUUGCUGAGUUGGAGAAUGGUGUAAUCGAUACUGAAAUAACCCGUGACAUCUUGUCCAUUAACCUUGUACGUUUUUGUUUCGUUGGGGAAGAGCAUCUCUAUGGUAGUCGAGUUACUGAUCUCAACAUCUGGCCUGCAGAUUCCAACGCUAUCCAUUGUUAGCUGUAGAUUGCAGAGCAGAAUCAGUUCUGGAUUUGUCUUGACGAUGCUGUUUGCAAAGAUGCUGGAUUCUGGGUAAAGCCCCGAGAACCCACCUCGAGCUACCACCUUUGGCUGCUUCCCUGCAUUUCACAAAAGAAAGAUAGGAGGCCAUCGUUUGUCAGUCAGCUCAGGUAAAAAGAAUGCUCGGCACAUUUUGUUAAUAUUGUUCAAUCUUAAAAUAAACUAAUAAUGCAUGCAAGUUUAUCCAAACAAUUUGUCGUAUUACGUGCAUUUUGAAGAAAGACAUGUUUGUUUUCUUUUCUUAUUGACAUAUCAUCAUGAUGUACUCACAAUUUGCAUUUCAGAUAUCAAACUUUCUUUUGAUAUCAAGCAGUUAGCUUUGUGGAACUUUCCUCUUCCAUCGGUUAUAUGCAUUGGGUUAUUGUACAAAGUUUGGCUCACAUUAAUCUGAAAAAACCCUAACAGGUGAGGUUAUGCAGGUUGGGGGGUAACGUAAAGGGUCUUACCGCUCAGAGUUAGCCACGUCGGGCACCAUCAUUGGCGCUGGGACCAGGGGCUGCUCUUCCAGCCAAAGUUGAAGGUAUGAAGAAGAGAAAUAAAAGUAAACCCCUCAACAUGUUCCUUCGAUUCCUCUGUGGACAAGCAGGCAACAACCAAUGAGCAACCAAAUUUCCAACUUGAAAGCGCAAUUUGGAGCCGCGCCUUACAGUAGGUGAUUAUGAUUUUGUGUCACAUGGUUUACUUGUCAACUCUAAACCGUAAGCUUCACUAGUUCAUAAUCUGAUAUACUGAGAACUUAUAGACCGAGUUGGUUUUUAAAAGAACGGAAUGGAACUUACAUGGAUUAACCUCAGCAGAACUGGACUCAGAAAAUGACCAUUUCCUGUCAAGAACAUGAAAAUCUCAUAGGGAAUGUUAGUCCCUAGCUGGAAAUGGACACAAGUUUUUCAGUCGGAUCAAAUUGGUAAAUUGUAAUUUUGUUAAUCCUUUCCCUUCUUUUUUGCUUAAUUCCUAUUUUUUUCCUCUUAAAACUCAUUUGUGAAUUCAUGAGUACUCCUAAAACGUAGAGGCAUCUUUGACAAUGUAUGUAUGUAGAUUUAUUGUGUUGAGAAAUUUGUGGAGUUAUUAUUAUUUAUUUUUAUACUGUUUUUGUUAUUUACUAUAUUUAAUNNNNNNNNNNNNNNNNNNNNNNNNNNNUAGUUAUUAUUAUUUAUUUUUAUACUUUUUUUGUUAUUUACUAUAUUUAAUUGCUUUUUGUUUCAAGAAAAUAUUUGACAAGUUCAAACGUCUUUUUAUUGUUGUUCAUUUUCUCAUUUAUUACAAUUGCAUUUUUGGUAAAUUAUUAUUUUUAAACAAAUAAGUAGAUUUUUAUAUACUUUAUAGUUACUUUUGGAUCUCAUUUCUUUUAUGAUAAAACCCAGUCACGUCAUUGUUUUCAUUCACAAUCAAAUGAGGCUCGAAAAGUCCAAACAAGUUAUAAAAAUGAGCAUACACAAAGUAGAAUCAACAAUUAAUUUGAAAAAAAGUAGAUAAUAAAAAUAGAAUGAACACCAAUUGGUAAACCAUGACCAAUGUCAACUAAAAAGUUUGCGGCCAAUUGUCUUUUCUAUAUAUAUUCUCAACUUUAAUCCUUUAACCAUCCAGACCCAAUUUAACAUCUCAUGGAACUGGGAGAAUGCUAGUUUAUGUUCUCACCCUUCGCCAGAAAAAGUUGAAUAGUAUCUUGCAAAUCCAGUUACAUGCACUUUUUUAGUUUAGUUUUUGCGUAUAAAUUUAGAAACGAUAAAACUAUUAUAGAAGCACACAAAUCUUGGCUAACUUUUCUAAUUGUUGUUCCUUGUUUUUUCUCCUAGUAGAGAUUUGUUUGUAAAAGAUAGAAAGUAGUAAAAGUAUUAUAUUAGUGUCCGUUUAUGGCGUGUAUUAUAUUCAAACUCAGAACCUCCGAGCCACCUGUACAUGACCUUACCAUUAAAGCCACCCCAUUUAAACUUUAUUCCUUAGUUUCGAUUUGUCUUCAAUUCUUUUUUAAGCAAUUUUAACCAUCGAAAACGGAAGAAAAAAAUCAUAUCUAAAUUAGACAAACUAUUGGCCGAAUCAUCCUUCUGCCACAAAAUAGCAAAGUUUGAGAACAAAACACACAUAACCAAAUUUAGAUAAGAAUGAAUGUCAAGCGUUUGUUGAUUGGUUAUUGGUUGAUAAACAACCGACCACGAAAUUUCAACGGCAAUUCACCACUCUCUUCUACCUUAUAUUCCAAUUGAGUUAUUGUUCUAUUACCAUUUGGGGCUCUGCAUCUACUACGACAUUCCCCUCCAAGAGACAAAAUUCUUGAAGGGGAAUGUUCAUUUUUUGAUUUUUCUUUUGUUUUCAGAGGUGUUUUAUUUUUUCAGAAAACAUUUUUACGAGUAUAAUUAAUUCAAUUGUUGUUAUCUGCACCCUAAUUUGAGAAGAAAUUUUGAAAUAAAUUUUUGCAGGAUUAAAUUAAAGAAGAAGACGAAUUAGAAGAAGGAGAUGAGGGGUUUACUUUUUGUAAUUUUGUUGAUUCAUACAAGUUGCCCUUGU
rnacentral:lncRNA from 1 species